ACGAGAAAGUAUCUCGUGGCCACGAGAAAGUAUCUCGUGGCCACGAGAAACUUUCUCGUGGCCACGAGAAACUUUUUAUAAAAAAAAAAAAAAAAAAAAAAAAAAAAAAUUUUUUUUUUUUUUUUUUUUUUUUUUUUAAUAAAAAGUUUCUCGUGG